UACGUAGGGCGCAAGCGUUGUCCGGAAUUAUUGGGCGUAAAGAGCUCGUAGGCGGUUUGUCGCGUCUGCUGUGAAAACCUAAGGCUCAACCUUGGGCUUGCAGUGGGUACGGGCAGACUAGAGUGCGGUAGGGGUGACUGGAAUUCCUGGUGUAGCGGUGAAAUGCGCAGAUAUCAGGAGGAACACCGGUGGCGAAGGCGGUCCCCUGGGCCGGAACUGACGCUGAGGCGCGAAAGCGUGGGUAGCAAACGGG
rnacentral:rRNA from 1 species